rnacentral:lncRNA from 1 species
CCACACUUAACUAAAUUCAAAACAAAAGUCCACCUUUCAAGUACAACAACAACAACAACAACAACAACAAACCCAGUAUAUUCCCACAUAGUGGGGUUUGGGGAAGGUAAAAUGUACGCAGUCCAUACCACUACCCCCGAAGGAGUAGAGAGGUUAUUUCCGAAGUCCACCUUUUAAGUAACUACACUUAAAACAUUUUCGACUCACUAAUGCACUUCUCAAGUGACCACACUUAACUAUAUUCAAAACACAAGUUCAUAAUUCAAGUAACUACAUCUAAACAUUCCAAGUUACUAAUUCACUUCACAAGUGACCAAACUUAACUAAAUUGAAAACACAAGUCUACGUUUCAAGUACCUACACUUGUGCAUUUUCAAGUCACUAACUCACUUCUCAAGUGACCACACUUAACUAUAUUCAAAGCACAAGUUCAUAAUUCAAGUAACUACAUCUAAACAUUCCAAGUGACUAAUUCAC